rnacentral:lncRNA from 1 species
GUGUGCUCUUCCGAUCUCGGAGGCGGACCGUUGAGGCCUCGAAAUCGGAAAUUUUCUUAAAGAAUGUAGACUUAAUAGAGUCCUGCCGAUGUCAAUCUACCGUAUCACUUUACCCGUACAAUCCAAGAGAAUUCUCGACAACACUAAGAGCAUAUGUUUCAAAUUCGCUGUUUCCGAUGCUAAAAGAAGAUAUUAUCGCCUUAGGUCGAGGCUGACUCCUCUCCUCCCCCCUGCCGGUUUGCCGAAUGGUUCCAGCAUGGACAGAAAGAUUUCCGAUUUCGAGGCCUCGGUGGUCCGCUUCCGGGGUGGUCUCCGUCAGCGGCGUGUCGGAGGGCUUAAGUGGAUCUUCCGUCGUCGGCUCUCCCACAGGGAGGGUUCCUCUCUGCCUCUUGGUGAUGUGCUUGCCGUCUUUGAUAGUAUCAACGUUCCUAACUUUGCUGGGGGGCUUUUUAUUAAGGGCCCGGCCUGUGCCCUGGUUGGGCGUCCCCGUUUGCAGGACGGUGUGCCUCUCUUCGAUAAACUUGUUGACCCGCUAGAAGAUUGGGAGGCGGAGCGGCUCCGAUGGACUCUGG